rnacentral:lncRNA from 1 species
UCCAGCAAAAGGGUUGGAUGAAAAUAAACUAUACGUGAAGGCACCAAACUAGUAUAACACCAAUUACACGUGUCAACCAAUAACAAUGGAGUCCAGCUGUAAUGGUCCCGACCUCUGGAUUUCUACUUCUUCUCGCCGGGAUACAUUGACCAAAAAACAUCUCAAAGUACGGCAAGAAGUUCAUAGUGAACGCCGUUUUUUGUGAUUACCGGGAAACGCAAAAUGAUGGUGUAUCUUAGGGUUAUAGGAAAGGCUUUAGAGGAGUUUGUUGCCGGUAGUUUGUGGGACAACUCCGUUAGAAACUAUUGCUGAUUAAACGGAUAUUGCCGGUUUCUCCGUCCUGGUCAACCGGGUAAAAAUCCCGUAAUAAAAUCUGUGUCCUCAUUCAUGCCCCGUUAUAUCUAUCUAAUAUGGUUAUGUUUGUAUUUGAUCGUUC